GUUGGUGNGGGUAACGGCUCACCAAGGCGACGAUCCCCUAGCUGGUCUGAGAGGAUGACCAGCCACACUGGAACUGAGACACGGUCCAGACUCCUACGGAAGGCAGCAG
rnacentral:rRNA from 1 species